CCUACGGGAGGCAGCAGUGAGGAAUAUUGGUCAAUGGACGAGAGUCUGAACCAGCCAAGUAGCGUGAAGGAUGACUGCCCUAUGGGUUGUAAACUUCUUUUAUAAAGGAAUAAAACGAGGCACGUGUGCCUUUUUGCAUGUACUUUAUGAAUAAGGAUCGGCUAACUCCGUGCCAGCAGCCGCGGUAAUACGGAGGAUCCGAGCGUUAUCCGGAUUUAUUGGGUUUAAAGGGAGCGUAGAUGGGUUGUUAAGUCAGUUGUGAAAGUUUGCGGCUCAACCGUAAAAUUGCAAUUGAAACUGGCAGUCGUGAGUACAGUUGAGGUAGGCGGAAUUCGUGGUGUAGCGGUGAAAUGCGUAGAUAUCACGAAGAACCCCGAUUGCGAAGGCAGCUUACUAAACUGUGACUGACAUUGAUGCUCGAAAGUGUGGGUAUCAAACAGGAUUAGAUACCCCAGUAGUC
rnacentral:rRNA from 1 species